UCAACCUCCAUAAAAUCCCAUCUUUCCCCUUCUCAUUUCUCUCACUCCCACACAUCUCAACAACAAAAGCACAACAAAAAAACCACUUCCUUUCUCCAUUAUCUCUCUCAAAAUCCCUUCCUCCCAAACUUUCCCAUAUCCUUCCUCCUCCUCAAAAGGUCGCAUGCAUGGACCAACGAGGAGGCAACUGCCAUGGCGGCCGGCGUUUCCGGUGGGGUUUUCCCAUUGGCAUCUCCUUUUAGGAGAUAUAGUCACUGAUUCUUACUAGCCAUGGCACUAUCCUAACUGAGCUUUUUAUACGUUUCGUUUUUCUUUUUUUCUUAUUUUUUUCUUGUUUCCGUUUCUUUUUUUAAGCUUUUGAAAUGGAGUCUUCUUGACCUUGUAAGACCUUUUCUUGACCUUGUAAGACCAACACCAUAACCUUUCCCUUUACCAUCCAUUUGAUUUCAUACUCUAUUUUGGGUAAUACCCAUAUGGAGUUUGAGUAGAAUCUAUCCCUAUUUCCACCCAACUCAUCUUCUCCUUCCUUGUCUAUCCCUUUGAGCUGCAUUUUAGUUUUAUCAAAUUAAAUUAAUUAAUUAAUUAAUAAUAAAUAAAUAAAUUUAAUCAAACCCCACCAAGCCAGCCGGUGUAGAAGAUCAAGAAGAGCAAGCAAACAGGAGGACGAUUGAGUUGAAGAAGAAGAAGAAGAAGGAGAAAGAUUACUUCUGCUCUUUUGGCUGUGAGGAUCGGAGUACUACUUGUGUGGAGUUUUUCGUUUGUUUUUUAAAUACAUUUUUUUUCUGUAAUAAUAAUAAUAAAUAAAUAAAUAAAAGAAUUGUUUGUAAAAUAGAAAUGAUUGUGUUGAGAAAGAAGGAAUAUAUGAAAUAGAAAAGUGAAUGAAAAUUGGUGUAUUUGUGAGGGGUGGAGGAAGCAGGAGAUGAAGUAAUUUGUUUGGGUUUUUGUUUUACGUGUUGUUUUUGUUGUUGUUAAUGUUGAGGAGAGAGAGAGAGAGAGAGAGAGAGAGAGAAGGAAUAAUAAAUAUUCUCUGGAGAAUAAGCUAAGUAAUUAGAAUAGUGGAGUCCACCACCACUCGUGACUGCUCAAUGCUCAUCACUUUGUACCUUUUGUGUGUUUAUAUAUAAUUAUAUUCCAAUUUACUCCA